CGUAGGGUGCGAGCGUUAAUCGGAAUUACUGGGCGUAAAGCGUGCGCAGGCGGUUUUGUAAGACAGAUGUGAAAUCCCCGGGCUCAACCUGGGACCUGCAUUUGUGACUGCAAGGCUAAAGUACGGUAGAGGGGGAUGGAAUUCCGCGUGUAGCAGUGAAAUGCGUAGAUAUGCGGAGGAACACCGAUGGCGAAGGCAAUCCCCUGGACCUGUACUGACGCUCAUGCACGAAAGCGUGGGGAGCAAACAGGAUUAGAUACCCUGGUAGUCCACGCCCUAAACGAUGUCAACUGGUUGUUGGGUCUUUACUGACUCAGUAACGAAGCUAACGCGUGAAGUUGACCGCCUGGGGAGUACGGCCGCAAGGUUG
rnacentral:rRNA from 1 species